GUGAACACACGCCAGCAGGGAGUGCCAGCGGAGAGGCUCCCCAGAGGGUUUCCAAAGCCUCGCUGCCUGGAGUCUGGCGUAGCCACAGCUGAAGCCCCCCUUCCACUCAUCCUGGACGACGGAGUGGCUUACGAGGUCCGAGAAAUCCCGGAUUCCCGGCGCCAUGGUGGCCAACUUGAGUACCUAGUGGACUGGGAAGGUUAUGGUCCUGAGGAAUGUUCCUGGGUUCCACGCAACGACAUACUCGACCCGAAUUUACUGGACACCUUCCAUGCAACUCAUCCCGACAG
ensembl:lncRNA